UGCGUCACCGAUCCAAAGUCUGUUGGAACAGUAGAAAGGAUGGUGCUGCACGUACUUGGAUGGUUGAAGUGGAUCUGUUUAUGGAGAAUGAUGACUAAGAGUAGAGACCCUUGGAAGAAGCUAGCUGCAAAAUCUACUGGAAGAGCUCAUGAAGCAACAUGAAGACUCCUGUGGACUUAUGUAAAUGUUUAUCUGGACUUUGCAUGAGACUGUUUUGAUCCUGUGAUAGAUGUACACCCAUAAAUAAAAGACUCUGAUUGUGUUUUCUU